rfam:Chaetura pelagica isolate M959 contig62146, whole genome shotgun sequence.
GUGCAUGCUGGGCUGUAAUUUAUGAAACAGAGCCCAGGAAACAACCAGUCAGUUAGCUCCUCCUAACAAGUCCAACUGCAAUGAAAAGCUGAAAGUGCUGCACAGAGCAACUAAAAGGAGCUAUCCCAAAUAUCAAUCUGCUUAUCUAGGGUUGUUUUCUGUGUAGAGAGAGAAGAUUGUAACAAGGAGAGGAAAAAAAGAAAGAAAAAAUCACAGUUUCACUGCUGAAAGAACAGAAUACAUUUUAAUAAACAGGCAAAUCUUCCACUGGAGUCA